UACGUAGGGUGCAAGCGUUGUCCGGAAUUAUUGGGCGUAAAGAGCUCGUAGGUGGCUCGUCGCGUCGGCUGUGAAAACCUGGGGCUCAACCCCGGGCCUGCAGCCGAUACGGGCGAGCUAGAAUUCGGUAGGGGAGACUGGAAUUCCUGGUGUAGCGGUGAAAUGCGCAGAUAUCAGGAGGAACACCGGUGGCGAAGGCGGGUCUCUGGGCCGAUAUUGACGCUGAGGAGCGAAAGCGUGGGGAGCGAACAGG
rnacentral:rRNA from 1 species